rnacentral:rRNA from 1 species
UACGAGUGCCUCAAGCGUUAUCCGGAAUCAUUGGGCGUAAAGGAUGUGCAGGUGGCCCUGUUAGUCUCUCGUUAAAUUUUGCGGCUUAACCGUAAACAUGCGGGGGAAACGGCAGGACUUGAGGGUGCAAGGGGUCUCUGGAACUCUAGGUGUAGCGGUGAAAUGCGUUGAUAUCUAGGGGAACACCAAUAACGGCGAAGGCAGUUAACUAUUCUGCUACUGACAUUGAGGCACGAAAGCGUGGGGAGCAAAACGG